UCUGCUUAUUGUAUUUCUGCUUGUGUAUUGGAGGAUAGUGCGUGUUGUGUUCGUGGUGUGGGUUGGUGGGAGGACAGACAAUGUAAGAAGCCCCGCGGAAGAGGUCAAGCAUUCUUAAUCAGCCGAAGCCAACGAGAUUUUCCCUUUGAAUCCCAAAUGGAGCUCUAAAGAAGGGGGCUCCCUGCCCCUCCCACCUCCCUUUGGCCCUUCACCAAUCUACUAAACAAAGGCCAAGGAAUAAAAGGCUGUUGUGUGACAGCCAAUUGUUUCAUUUCAAGUUGCUGGCCGGCAUCUUAAUCUUCAUUUAUAUGCUGAUUCUCCCCCUUCCUUGUCUCAAGGGGAUGAAAACGUCCAGGGUCUCCUCAGGAUGAUGACUGGGGUCAAAAGGCUUCCAAUUUACUGCUGUACCAAAAGAAGCUGUCUCCCAGUUGCAGCAAAAGCAGCCACAUGCUACUGAAUUUUCUGUGCCAUCUUCAAAGGGAGUCUCCACGCUGAAUAUAUUAAAGUAGCUGAGUCUUAUUCCAUUCUGAAGCUGUGAUCAUAGUCAUGCCUGCCUAUUCUUAGUCAACAUCAAGUCAGCCAGUCUUUGACAGCAACACCGUUUCAUUUCUCACAUGAAUAAUAACAGUUGGUUUGAGAGAAGAUUGAAAAUCAACCCAGCAAAAAGCUGAGAACGUCAUACAGGAAUGGACAAUGCUUCCCGAGUCUUUGAACCAUGUCAAGAAGUCAUUAUGCACCUGAGUGCUUCAAGGUGAUUGAAUCCCUGUCUUCCAAACUGGUAAGAUGCCAUAAAAAAUGACAAUGUGCACAGAGUUUGCAUGGAUAAGGGGCCUAGACAAAAGACACACAACUCUACUGUUCUUUCUUCCAUUGAUCAAAACAGUAACACCUUCCUGUUUCUUUUAUGCCUUUGCUUCAGGCUAAACAUUCUGCAUUCCAAAAGAAAUGGUAAGCCGUUCAUGCCACAUCUCACAAAAAGGACAUGCUUCACUAAAAGAAAAAGGACACACAUUUGGACAUUUGCACAUGCUACUUUAGAUGUAAAGAUGCAAUUUAGAAACAAUUAUUAUAACUGAAAUAAACAACAACAACAUACA